rnacentral:rRNA from 1 species
AUUGAACGCUGGCGGCAUGCCUUACACAUGCAAGUCGAACGGUAACGCGGGGCAACCUGGCGACGAGUGGCGAACGGGUGAGUAAUGUAUCGGAACGUGCCCAGUUGUGGGGGAUAACUGCUCGAAAGAGCAGCUAAUACCGCAUACGACCUGAGGGUGAAAGCGGGGGACCGCAAGACCUCGCGCAGUUGGAGCGGCCGAUAUCAGAUUAGGUAGUUGGUGGGGUAAAGGCUCACCAAGCCAACGAUCUGUAGCUGGUCUGAGAGGACGACCAGCCACACUGGGACUGAGACACGGCCCAGACUCCUACGGGAGGCAGCAGUGGGGAAUUUUGGACAAUGGGGGCAACCCUGAUCCAGCCAUGCCGCGUGCGGGAAGAAGGCCUUCGGGUUGUAAACCGCUUUUGUCAGGGAAGAAAAGACUCCUGUUAAUACCGGGGGUUCAUGACGGUACCUGAAGAAUAAGCACCGGCUAACUACGUGCCAGCCGCCGCAGUAAAAC